AUUGACAGGAUGAGAUGAACGAGCUCCUCCUGAACCUUCAUUUAGAGCCUCAUUUAAAUACAGAAUGAGUUCAUUUGCAUAUUGAUCAGAUGCUUCAGUGCUCUGAGAGUGUUUAUAGUGCUGUGAGUUUAACACUUCAUCACUGACACACACAACAAUCUUCAUCAACAUGACCUUCAUCAUCAUCUUCAUCUGGACUCUCACAGCGUUUGCUCAAGAGUGUAGAGGACAGAUCACCGUCACUCAGAGUCCCUCAAUGACAGCAGCUCAACCAGGACAAACUGUGAACAUCAACUGUAAAACCAGCAGUAAUGUGUACAAGACUAGUUGGGGGGAGCGUUUGGCCUGGUACUUACAGAAAUCUGGAGAAGCUCCUAAACUCCUCAUAUAUCGAGUAACAGACCGUUACACAGGAACUCCAUCUAGAUUCAGUGGCAGUGGAUCUAACAGUGAUUUCACUCUGACCAUCAGUGGAGUCCAGACUGAAGAUGCUGGACAUUAUUACUGUCAGAGUUUACACUAUCCAAACAGUAACUGGGUGUUCACACAGUGAUAAAGAGUCGUACAAAAACCUCCGUCAGUCAGAGUCACAGUGAC